ensembl:lncRNA
GGUGUACAGUAACUACAGGUAACAGGAGUCAGGUAUACAGUAACUACAGGAGUCAGGUGUACAGUAACUACAGGGGUCAGGUGUACAGUAACUACAGGUAACAGGGGUCAGGUGUACAGUAACUACAGGGGUCAGGUGUACAGUAACUACAGGUAACAGGAGUCAGGUGUACAGUAACUACAGGUAACAGGGGUCAGGUGUACAGUAACUACAGGUAACAGGAGUCAGGUGUACAGUAACUACAGGUAACAGGGGUCAGGUGUACAGUAACUACAGGUAACAGGAGUCAGGUAUACAGUAACUACAGGUAACAGGGGUCAGGUGUACAGUAACUACAGUACAGUACAUGUUUGUCUGAGUGCCAGUGGAACAGAAGCUUCUCUUCUCCUUCUGUCUGUAAUUCUCCGGUCUUUCUUUGACACCCAGCAUAACAUUGUCGUGGGGUAUGUUAUUUUCGCUACAAGGGGUGCCGAAUCAGUUGGAAGGGCAUUUUAUUUCCAUAGCACGUAUUUAAUGUGUGCUAUAUCAGAG